GGGGCCGGCCGCCUGUCAGAGGGAGGUGGCGAUGGUGCGCUCGGUGUCGGCGGUGGCUGCGGCGCCUUCCUCGGUCGGUGCGCAGGGAGGAGAAGAUGACUGACCAACCGACUGGCUGAAUGAAUGAAUGGCGGACCCGAGCGCGCCAUGAGGAGCCUGCCGAGCCUGGGCGGCCUCGCCCUGUUGUGCUGCGCCGCUGCCGCCGCCGCCUCAGCCGCCGCGGCGGGGAAUGUCACCGGUGGCGGCGGGGCCACGGGGCAGGUGGACGCGUCCCCGGGCCCGGGGCUGCGGGGCGAGCCCAGCUAUCCCUUCCCUAAGGCGACGACUCCCACGACCCAGGCCCCACGGACCGGACCCCCGAGCGCUACCCCGCACCGAUCCCUGGCUGCGACCUCUCCAGCCCAGUCCCCGGAGACCAGCCCUCUUCGGGCGACGGCCGGACCCGCUCCGACCACCGUUCAGACGCCGCCUGCCCCCUCGCCAACCACCCCUCCGGCGGUGGAACGCACUCCGACCACCCCUCGGGCGCCGACCAGACCCGCGCCGGCCACCCUCUCGACAACCACUGGCCCGGCGCCGACCACCGCUGUAGCAACCACCGUUCCGGCGCCCGCCACUCCCCGGACCCCGACUCUCGUUCUCCCCAGCACCAGCAGCGCCUCGUCCACCCCACCUGCCACCGAGGCUCCCUCCCCUCCUCCCUCAGAGUAUAUAUGUAACUGCUCUGUGGUUGGGAGCUUGAAUGUGAAUCACUGCAAUCAGAGUACAGGGCAGUGUGAAUGUCAACCAGGUUAUCAGGGACUUCGCUGUGAAACCUGCAAGGAGGGUUUUUACCUGAAUCACACAUCUGGGCUCUGUCUGCCGUGUAUCUGUAGUCCACAUGGAGCCUUCAGCAUGCUUUGCAACAGUUCUGGGAAAUGCCAGUGCAAAAUAGGUGUCACUGGUUCUACAUGUGACCAAUGUCAAGAUGGAUAUUAUGGCUUUAGUAAGAAUGGCUGUUUGCCCUGCCGAUGCAAUAAUCGGUCUGCCAGUUGUGAUGCCGUCACAGGUGCUUGUUUAAACUGCCAGAAAAAUAGCAAGGGAGGUCACUGUGAAGAAUGCAAAGAAGGAUUUUAUCAGAGUCCUGAUGCUACUAAAGAAUGUCUUCGCUGCCCUUGUUCAGCAGUGACAUCUACAGGCAGUUGCACGAUAAAUUUGGGUGAAUUGGAACCUAAAUGUGUCCGCUGCAAAGAUGGUUACACAGGCGAGAACUGCAAUAAAUGUGAAUAUGGCUAUUACAAUUUUGACAGCAUCUGUAUAAAGUGCAAAUGUCAUGGCCACGUGGACCCAAUUAAAACUCCAAAGAUUUGUAAGCCCGAGAAUGGUGAGUGCAUCAACUGCCUCCAUAACACCACCGGGUUUUUUUGUGAGAACUGCCUGGAAGGUUAUGUUCGAGACUUCGAGGGAAAUUGCAUCAAGAAAGAAGUUAUUGUUCCAACACCUGAAGGUUCUACCAUUUUGGUUUCCAAUGCCUCUUUGACCACAUCAGUGCCCACCCCUGUUAUAAAUAGUACAUUUACCCCCACAACCCUGCAGACUAUCUUUUCAGUAAGCUCUUCUGAAAACAGCACUUCAGCUUUAGCUGAUGUAUCAUGGACCCAAUUUAACAUCAUCAUUUUGACAGUCAUCAUCAUUGUGGUGGUGCUGCUAAUGGGAUUUGUGGGGGCUGUAUAUAUGUACCGUGAAUACCAAAACCGGAAACUCAAUGCCCCCUUUUGGACCAUCGAGCUGAAAGAAGACAAUAUCAGUUUCAGCAGCUACCAUGACAGCAUUCCCAAUGCAGAUGUAUCGGGAUUGUUGGAAGAUGAUGGCAAUGAAGUGGCUCCCAAUGGGCAACUGACCCUGACGACACCCAUACAUAACUACAAAGCCUAAGGAGCUAGAGCUAUUCUGGAUUGUUAAACCACAGUGCUUACUAAAACAGCAUCAGUCCCUGGGCCAGACAAAGCCUGGGUGGAGUUUGCUGAGAAAGCAAAGGCCAAUAGUGCAUCUGAAAUUUUUGGGUACAAAUUUAUAAUGUGCUUAGCCUAUCUGUUGCUCUUAGAUUUCCCAUGAAGAUCUGAAGUAUUCACUGUCACUAAAGACCCGAAGUAAAGUAUAUUUUUGUACCAAACCACAUGGGACUAAGGAAAGGCUGAACUCCAUAGCACAGCCCAAAUCCACUUUGACCUUCAAAUAGACUUGUGGGGAAAUGUUCACCAAACCAAUGGUAACAGGAUAAUGGAUGUGGAGGGGGAAAGGACUGCUGGAAGACUUCAUCUCCAUUCCUGAAACACAUUUUUAUUUACAGGAGGGUCAGGGAUUAUAUUAAUUUUACUGUACUAAAAGACAUCAUUGAGGAAAAGCUGGCAUCUAGGCUGUAUCUUGAUUGUUUCUAGAAUAGGGACAGAAAAGUCCCAAGAAGGUCUUUAGAAGGGCUUGAUUUUUCCUCCAAGGAUUCUUGCCCAAUGAUGACAUUAAAGCACAGGAUAAACUUCUAAUGGUAAAGAGAGAAAGGCAGCAUUGGGGAGCAGGAAGCUGAUGGUCCCACUCAGGGUCUCAGUGUAAAUGACUGAUUGUCUGAAAAUAAGGAAUAUUCCUGUAUCUAGAGAAAUAAGAUGUACAUAGUUAAUGUAGCAUAUCUGGUCAACAUUGUAUUUCUAUCUAUUUGUAAAAAAAAAUCAUGUCAUAUUUUAUCAUCUAGAAUUUAUUUGUACAGCAGUUAAUGGCAUUGUAAAAAGAAAAUAUGGGAUUGGUUAAAAUAUUGUAAAAUAGAUGGCAAUAUUGCUAGAGCUGGGACUCUGGUGAGCAUCAGUCAUUUUCAGUCCCUGUUUGGACAUUGUUGAAAUUUAUGAGGUUGAACGUUUCUAGUUUUUCUUUCCUUUCUCAAUUUAAAAGUAGAGUUAUAUGCUCUUUAAUAUAGAUUCAAGCAAUAGAUUUCGAAGUCAAUAAUUGUUAAGCUGGGACACAGGCUGCAUUCUCCAAAAUACUUAAUUAGAUACUAGGCACUCUAUAUAUUUUAUAUAGAUUAAUAUAAAACAUAUCCUAAUUAAAUAUGUUUUUCCUAAAUGUAGGAGACAGUCUUCCAAAGGAUAGAAAUAUUUUAGUUCCAAAAGAAAGCCAUUAUAAUCACUUCAGAUUCCUAGUUUUCAUGCUUGUGAAAUAUGAGGAUUUAUACCCGCUCCCCCCAAAAUAAAAACCCUCCAUUUGAACAUAGCCCACCAGUCAUUUGCUGUGAGGUGUGUGCCAUCUCUCUGCAGUGCUAUAGUUCUCCCAUCUUCUUGUCUGGUUAGAGGAUAACUCUGUAGUUUGGUGAGCAUAGUUAGUACUUGGUUUUAGAUACAAUUUUUUCCUAGAGGCCAACUGUUGCUCUCAUUUAUUAUGAUGUUGACAGAUUGUAGAUUAAGCAAGCUAGGAAAGGUGGCCAGAAGUCAAAUAUAGAUAUUUAUUAGGAGGAACAGCAAACUGUGAAGUGGAUAGAAAAACACAAAGACUUUUUUUUAUCAGAUUAGACUUAGGAAAUCCAAGUUGACCCCUUUGCCUAACUUCCUCAGAGAAAAACCUAGAACUUGGUCAUCCCUUUAUAGAAUACCCCUAAGUUGUUCUCAGGGUUUGGAGAUGAUGCUCUGUAGGAUGUACAGACAAAUAAUCUACUUCUGGUAACCUGAGGAUGCUCUGCGUAUUUGGCCAUUGCUCACAAGAGUAGAGAUUACAUUAUAUUAAAAUUAUUUAAUAUUUCUACAGCCCUUUGUAGUUUGCAAAGCACUUUUCCAUGUGGGUGUCCUUUGUUCCUCACCACAGCCCCUGAGGAAGUAAUUAUUGUCGCCACUUUGUAGAUGAGACUGAGGCACAGAGAGGUUCAAUGUCUUGUUCAAGGCUACACAAUGUGUGUCAUUAUUUGGCUUGGAAUCGGGACUUCUAGUUCUGAAGCACAUAUUCUUUCAACUAUACACUGAUGCAGAAAUUUCCUAGCCAUGGACACAAGAAGGCUGGGAGGAAGAGUUCCAUUUGUGGAUGUUUCUAAUGUUUUUGUAAGUACCAGAUAUAGUUGAGGGACAUACAGCUGUGAAGGACUUUGUGGAGAGAACACAGGAGGAAAAUUAUCUGAAGCCAGCGUUAGUGAUAAGAAAACACAACUACCAGUUUGUGCUUCAUUAAAGUGAAUUAACCCUUCCAAGCAGGGAGGUAAAACUUGCCUUCCCAGCAGUUGCUGCAUAGUUAUGUAUGGACUGUGCACUGCAUAAUUCCAAGGAAUUGUGCAAUUUGGCAUACCUGCCUUUCUCCCAGAUACCCGUGCCAAAAAGAAUCAAGAUUGAGGAUGGUGAGAAAUAAACAUUUGUUAAAAGGAAGUUAACCCAAUGUAGAAAGAAGGAGUGUUUGUUGGAGUCUAAGAGCCAAAGCCAAGUAGUUAGGAUUCCGGCCAUGUAGAGAUUCCUUAAAACAGACCUUAAUGCAAAAAUUGCAGUAAUCAAAUAACAAAGAAUGUUGACCUUUAAAUACUUGUUAAUAGCUCCUAGGUCAUGUUCUUAAUUUUUCCCAAAGGAAAAAAAAAUUAAGGUCUUAAAAUUUGUUUUAAAUAAUAUUCUUUAGUGGCCCCAGCAUUUUGCUUGUGGAAAUAAUUUUGUCCUAAAAUAUAAAUCAAUCAUGAAAUGAUCUAUUACUGAAAUCAGACUAGGAUACUAGUAUGGAAUGCACAGCACAAUAUUCAUUCAUCUGAAGGCAUGAUCCCCAUGAAUAAUGGUGUCCAACAGCAGGACCCCAUCAGUCCUUUAGAAGCCCUAAUAUUGGAAGAAUUUUUGUCUAAGGAUUAGAAAUAUGUUUAUUUUUAAAUAAGACUUAUGUGAGUCUUACUGAGAAAUGACAGAUACUGCUCCUAAGGGAUACUUUUUAAUCUUCAUUAAUUCAUUUUAGGAAGCCCUUAUGCAUUUCUGAUAGAUGCCCUAGGUAGUGUUCUUAAGUAUGUCUUUGUCUUCCCUUACUUCCCCCUCCCUCCCUCCACCCUCUACCUCCCAGGACUCUCUUAUUUAUGGACUUUCUCAGUUAUAGAGAAAAAGUGAUAAUAAAAACUAAACCUCAUUUAUACUAAGGUCCUAUGGACCUAGUGUGUUACCUUUUCCAGGUAUACCUGGAUUUUAAGAGUGAAGAACAGACAGAGCAGACAGGAUGGAAGGAGAGAGACUUUUUUGGACAGGAUUUGUUGAAGCCUCAAAUUAUGUGGCUACUCUCUAGCCCCAGGACAUUUAGCCCUUCUUGUACUGUGAUGGAAGCAGAGAGCUAAAGUAACAGUACUUCUUGACAGCUUCAAUUGGAAAUGGCUCCAGUACUUUUUGUGGGACAUUUGAUGAACAUAACACCACUUAUAAUGAAUGUCUGGUUCUUAUAUUUUGGGGUAUGUAGGUAGGAUUUGAAUUUUCACAUCUCAAGGAAAACUCUCUGAACAAAAAGUUCAGAGAAGUAAAAGGCAACCCAGUAUAACCUAUUGGAGCAAGGAAGGCAUUUUUGGCCUCAUUCAUAAGGAACCUUUGGCUUGUUAUGAUCUUUUUGACAGUAAGGAGUUUGCGAGUUAAAAUGUGUGCAGGGGAGUAAUGGAAGGUUAAUGCAUUCUUCUCUUUAACCCUGAGCCAGUGACUAUGCCAAGGGGAAAAGCAAGAAGAACACACUGAUUCAUCUGAAGAAGUCAAAUAAUAUGGAAUGGACUAAAGGUUAUGGAUCAUUAAAAUGUCAGUGGUUGAAUGAUGCUUUUUCAAAGGCGAUUGGGAAUCUUUCUCUCUUGUUACUUAUGCAUAUGCAAUAACUACAGCAGCAGCCCUAGAAUGUGAGCCCGGGGCUUCAGAUCUGUUAGUCCAAAAACUAAAUGAUUUAAGGUCAAGUUGUAUGCUAGGCACAAGCACUCUGUAAUAAUGUUAAAUUUCAGUGUGAGCAAUUAGGGAAUGUUUCUGAAACAUUAAACUUGUAUUUAUGUCACUAAAAUUCUAACACAAAUUUUAAAAACAUGUCUCAUACAUAUGCUGUACUAGGCUUCAUGAUGCAUUUCUAAAUUUGUGUAUGAUUUGAAUAUAUGAAAGAAUUUAUACAAGAGUGUUAUUUAAAAUUAUUAAAAAAUAAAUGUAUAUAAUUUGUACUUAUUGUA